UACGUAGGGUGCAAGCGUUAAUCGGAAUUACUGGGCGUAAAGCGUGCGCAGGCGGUUCGCUGAGACCGAUGUGAAAUCCCCGGGCUUAACCUGGGAACUGCAUUGGUGACUGGCGGGCUAGAGUAUGGCAGAGGGGGGUAGAAUUCCACGUGUAGCAGUGAAAUGCGUAGAGAUGUGGAGGAAUACCGAUGGCGAAGGCAGCCCCCUGGGCCAAUACUGACGCUCAUGCACGAAAGCGUGGGGAGCAAACAGG
rnacentral:rRNA from 1 species